UUGUCGAACCCUGCAAGGCAGAACGACCUGUGAACACGUAAAUACAACUGGGUGAUGGGGAGAUGGAUCUUGGUUCUGAUCCUCAACACCUCCUAGCGUGCCUGCAUGCUUUCUCUUUUGGGCUAUCAUGCAUGUAUUGUUGGAAUUUAACAAAACCCCGGCACGGCAUGUGCCAAGGAAAACAAUAAACUAGAAGGACUCGACCUGUUAUGCCCCGUUUGUGGUGUGCAUUCUGAGCGUGUCCUCCUUUGAAUCACAAACGACUCUCGGCAACGGAUAUCUCGGCUCACGCAUCGAUGAAGAACGUAGCAAAAUGCGAUACUUGGUGUGAAUUGCAGAAUCCCGUGAACCAUCGAGUUUUUGAACGCAAGUUGCGCCCGAAGCCAUCCGGUUCAGGGCACGCCUGCCUGGGCGUCACGCAUCGCGUCGCCCCCCAUCAUACUUCCCUUAAGGGUAGUCGUG
rnacentral:misc_RNA from 1 species